rnacentral:rRNA from 1 species
CCCUUAGAGUUUGAUCCUGGCUCAGAACGAACGUUGGCGGCGUGGAUUAGGCAUGCAAGUCGAACGAAUCCCCGGGGCUCCGGCCCCGGGGGGAAGUGGCGAAAGGGGCAGUAAGGCAUGGGUAACCUACCCCGGGGAUGGGCAUAGCCGUUCUAACGGACGGGUAAUUCCCAGCGCCCCGGCGCGGCCGCAUGGCGGCGCCGGGAAAGGAGUUUCGCCCCGGGAGGGGCCCAUGUGGCAUUAGCUCGUUGGCGGGGUAACGGCCCACCAAGGCUGCGAUGCCUAGCGGGUGUGAGAGCACGACCCGCGCCACUGGCACUGCGACACUGGCCAGACACCUACGGGUGGCUGCAGUCGAGAAUCUUCGGCAAUGGGCGCAAGCCUGACCGAGCGACGCCGCGUGCGCGACGAAGGCCUUCGGGUUGUAAAGCGCUGUCGGGGGGGAGGAAAGCCCGAAAGGGCCUGACCUAUCCCCGGAGGAAGCACGGGCUAAGUUCGUGCCAGCAGCCGCGGUAAGACGAACCGUGCGAACGUUGUUCGGAAUCACUGGGCUUAAAGGGCGCGUAGGCGGGCGGUCAAGUCCGGGGUGAAAUCCCCCAGCUCAACUGGGGAACCGCCCCGGAUACUGGCCGCCUCGAGGGGGGUAGGGGCGUGCGGAACGUUUGGUGGAGCGGUGAAAUGCGUUGAUAUCAAACGGAACUCCGGUGGCGAAGCGGCACGCUGGGCCCUUUCUGACGCUGAGCGCGAAAGCCAGGGGAGCGACGGGAUUAGAUACCCCGGUAGUCCUGGCCCUAAA